UACAGAGGGUGCGAGCGUUAAUCGGAAUUACUGGGCGUAAAGGGCGCGUAGGCGGUUAAUUAAGUUAGAUGUGAAAUCCCUGGGCUUAAUCUAGGAACUGCAUCUAAUACUGGUUGACUAGAGUGCGGUAGAGGGUAGUGGAAUUUCCGGUGUAGCGGUGAAAUGCGUAGAUAUCUGGAAGAACACCGGUGGCGAAGGCGGUCAACUGGCCCUAAACUGACGCUCAGGCACGAAAGCGUGGGGAUCAAACAGG
rnacentral:rRNA from 1 species